rnacentral:lncRNA from 1 species
UAGAUGUUGAGGAUGGUUUUGAGUUUGUUAAUGUGCAUAAUGAGCUUGUCUAGUUUUAAAUAUUUAGUUUUGGUUUCUAAGUAAGUCUGGGCUGAAACAAUUACUUUUUUCCAAACCUAAGAUUGCUUAAGGUAUAUAUUAUUUGAUUCGUAAAAGUAUAUUGUGAAAAUUUUAUGGACUAAACACCAUUGUAAAUCACAUAUUUCAGUUUCGGUAGGUAAAAAUAAAAAAAUUAAAAAAAAUCAGAAGAACUGAAACAUCAAUGAAAACCCCAAUUUUCAAACCACCCAACUAGCAUAACCCAGAAUUCAAAAGAAAAGAGAAAAUAAAUUACAGUAGAUCUAGAAAUUAAAGAAAAACACAAAACUAAAAAGCGAAUAAGAAAAUUAAAAAAGAAAGAAAGAAAUGAAGC